ensembl:lncRNA
UCACUGUUGUAUUACUUUUGUAUAUAAAUAAAGACAAGUGCAAGAACAGAGCGCGCAUCACAGGGCCCCCACUCUGGUGUGAGCGUUCUGUGACCACCCUUGUAUACAAGUGAAAAACACAGCGUCUGUGUGUGUUUCUACCCUUAGACUCUUAGCUGAAGAAGUGUCUUUAGAAUAAAUCUCUUGACAUUUAUUUUGGUCCUUCGAGCCGGAUCAGAAAUAUCAGAACUGUUAUCUGUGACUCUGUUCCAGGAUCUGGCAUACUGUUUCCUGACGCCGUGGAUCCAGCACCGAAGAGGGCUGCUUUGCCGGUCCUGAAAGCCAAAGCUGACCUGGACUCCUGCUCUCCCUCUACCAUCUCUGACCUUGACCCUGACCAAAUGCUGCAGCAGCUGGACCCAUAACAACAAUCUAAAAUGUCAACAGUGCUACAGGAAAGCGAUCUCAUGCAGCAGAGACGGAGAGCGUUAAAUCCAAG